AUGUCGCAGCAGUUUUUGUCACGUGUGACUGCUCAGGGAGGCUACGCCGUCGUGUUCGGAGGAGGAACUAAACUGCGAGUACAAACCAGUUUAUUUAAUUGGGUGUUGGGUGUUUUUGUAGUCAGUGAGGUUUGUGUCGUGAAGCGUCACACUGUGACUUACGGCUCUGCUGCUAACAAGAUCGUCUUUGGCGGCGGCACCAAACUUCACGUUAUCGACAAUGAGGAGUACAAGCCGUCCUACUACGAACUGUCAAAGGGUAAUACGUCGGUGUGCCUGGCCACCGGCUUCAGCAGACACAAAGCAACAGUGAGCGAACACGGAAGUUUUUUCAAUGAGACAAAGGCCGUCCGCAUAUCAGACGACUCGCUGUACAACCAGGUGGCUUUCAUAUCGUCCCCGGAGGAGAAGGAAAUAUGCCUGCAAGCUGCAGGACAAUCUGACAAGUGUGAAGAUAAACUGGAACAAGAUGCUGAGGUGAACCUGAUGACUGUGACCGUCCUGGGCCUCAGGCUGCUCUUCGUGAAGACGGUCGUCUUUAACGUCCUGCUGACUCUGCGUCUGUGGAUCAGUCAGUGUGAGUACGAACCACACCACUCGGAGGCUGUCGGCUCCUCUGUGAGCUCAGAUCAGACCGCCGUUUCUUCCGGUCGGUGAUCGGAUUUCAGCGUGAAGCCUCUUUGUUUUUUAUCUGUUGUCCUGGUGACGAACAUUUUCACAGCACGCGAUUCUCCGAACAGAAUCUGCGACAAACACGCCAAACUUCAGCAGCUCGUUCUCAUUCCUAACUCUAAACGCCGCUGCCCGGUCAGUCAUUUAGGCGUCACACACCGAUGCCAAAGAACGCCCGAAGUGGCGGUACGAUACGCCACUGAAGGGCGUCGGUUUCUGCGGCGGACGGGUCCAACAAACUCCGGACUGUCACCCAGGAGCCCGCAGUUUGGUUUCCGUAUAAAUGCAGAUUGUAGCGCCUGAUGGUUUAUUCUGAAGCAAACCACAAGCUUUUGAUACAAAAGGAAAUCAGCGUAAAAACAAGGUGUUUAACCGGUGUUGUCAUUUUAUUUUGAAAAAGCUUUUAUGCAUCUAAUGAGCAGAAACGGAACAUUUCCUGUGAAAACGGAGGUGAAUUUUUAAAAAGACAAAAUGCAUCAAAGAGGCGUAAACUGACAUGCAACCCCGAACGUAAAAUGUUCAAACUCCUGACUAGGAAGGACACGUGAAGACGUCCACGAGACACUUAACCGUUGAUCCCGAUCGUCCAGACCGCUGACCGCAAAGAGACACUGAGGCGAUAAGCACAGUUACUUCCUCGACUUUGUGCUCUGAAAGUCUGAAAACGUCACGACUCGGUUUAACGUUGACUUUUUCUAUGUUGCUUUUGAUAUUUCAACCAGAGUUCCCAGUCAGUUUAUGGUCAUACUGGUGCUGGUCUCCUUUGGAUGCUGUUUUAACCCUUUAAUUCCCCAUCGCCUGGGUCAUCAUGAGUUUUCUUGAGCUGUAUUCAGAUGCCUUUUACAGGCGUCGAGCUGAAACAUGAGAAAAAAUGGUUUUAUUUAAUUUAAGAAAAAAAAAGAUGAAAAAAAUGCAAUGAACAACAGAAAUGUCUCGUAAAUGAUAAAAAACUCAAUAAGAAAGUACCUGGGGGAGAUUUAUAUUAUCAAAAACUAUGGAAAAAUUUCAUUUAUAAAUCUAUUUGCUAUAUAUUUACUCUACACAAUGAAACUUUUUCUGCACGUUGUUUAGGUC